ensembl:lncRNA
CUAGUUGUUACCAUUUGGGCAUGAAAAAAUGUUAGCAGUGAGUUAAACUACAGAUCUCUGCUGCACAGCAGAGAGCCUGUACAGCCAAGUCAAAAAGGCAAUAAAUCCAGAUCAAACUUCUUAUUCCCGCAGCUUUGUAUUUCAUGUGCCUCCUGGAGGCUGGAAGUAUUGUGAGCUGCAGGCUUGCUUCCAGCAUUACCAGCACACUGGCUCACACAUUGUUACGCCAGAAGGACCUGAAGAGGUACAAUAGGAGAGCUUCAAUUGAAAUUCUUCUGGAUACUGCUUCAACUCAGUUUUAUCGCUUUGUCAGUCAGAGGUCACACAUCUUUCUAAAUGGUCAUCAAUGAGGCUUCUGGAUCUGUGCAAGGAGUGCAGCUCCUGCCAGAUCCUUGGUCAUGAAGACAGCUCUGAAAAGCAGCAUUUCCAAGAGGUGUCUUCACCCUGCCUCCAUCCAGAGAAAGUAAACAUCUAUUGAAUUAAUUUCUAAUCACUCUUUUCACUACUUUUAAAUGUGAAUAUAUUAUCCCAGUGGCAAGAUAUGCAGCACACCGGUAUUCUUAACUCCCAGGAAAUAAGCUUCUCUCUUCCAUGUAUUUUCUUUCAAUAAGACACACAUGGGCUUACAAGAUAUAGUGUAUUCAUGGCUGUUUAAGCACACUAGAUUUAUAUCCUUGGUUUCAGUUAUUUAAAAUUAGAAAAAAAAAAUCCUAGUAGCUCCACCUAUUUUAACUACUGCUUUAUUUGUAGCUACUGGAGCAUUCACAGCUGGAGAAAAAGAUGGAUGGCUCUUUAAAAAAAAAACACCUAGGAGGGCAGUUCUUAGAGAAGAAAUACAGAUCUUUUAGAUCUUCUCUUUCAAGAAAUGGUUAAUGUUUCUCUGCACAGGAGAUUUCCUUGGUGCUUGUUGAUAACAUCUGUGAUGGCACUAUUACUGGCAAACCUGAUGAUUUACUGGGAAGAGUAAGAACAGAGCAUUGGCCUCAGAAAUGUCAUUUGAAGGCCUCUUAAUUGAUUCUUACAAUGAUCCUGCAGAACUAUUUGUCCACUACUCAAAUUUGCUAUUUUUCAUUCCUUGUAGAUGGUUACAGUUGCAUAUAAGCUUAAAAUUAAUUCAUGCUGUAGGUAAGUAUGAAAGAAUAGUGUAAUAUAAGCAGUCUAAUGUCUGAAGCACAGUGACCAAUCUUUCCAAAAAAAAAAAAGAAAACCAGUUGGUGUUUGUCAUGGUGUCUUGUUACACCAAUCUAGUUGAGCCACCGUCUAGUGGCUCAAUACUCAUGUACUGAAGUUAAGAAUUUAAACCCCAGGGCUCAAGUACAUCACUUCCUGAUGCAACUAAUUGCUUUGGAGUAUCAGUGUUUUUCCUUAGGUAGGCUGUCUUGCUACAAACUACAAUAGACUUGUCACUUUUCUUACUGUAUCACAACAUUCAAAAGGGAACAGCAGCAUGGAGUGUGAGCCUCCAUGCAUUUUCAAGAAAAGAAACUGUCAUGAUCACAUCUACUGUCCAGCUGCAAAGGUGGGGGAAAUCUUCACUGUAUUUAAUUCCCUUCUCUUAUAGCUGUGUUAAAUAACUUGUAAAUGUUCCCAUCCCAAGGACAUAGCAUGUUGUUUUUAGUGGUGGGGAACACAUAAACACAAAUCUUCUUCCUCUCUGAUAUUGCCAAGAUUUUAAACAUGUUGAGAACUCAGUCCAUCUUUUCUUCAUCAUUUUCACUUUUCUGGCUUUCACCAUCUUUGAAGUACCCAGGGCUUGCAUGAUGUUUUGAAUUGAAGCUGUAUUAGCAUUGUAUGGAGAUGAGUAGCCCUGGCUAAUACAGUUUCUGUGUAGCUUGAAUGUUUUCUUGUAUUUUUUGUUGUUGGAAACAAAAUCAUGGCAUGCUGUAUAUACCUAAGCUUAAAUAUGAAUGAGGAUAUCCAGACUUCUUGAAGUGACAUUUCUCCUUAUUCCUAAAACAAACCUCUAGCAUGUUCUCUCAAAGCUGAUAUUAUGGAGAAAUGAUGUGGCAGUGAGAAAUUACCAUGUCUUCUCCAUUUUCUUCAUCUCUAUACUUUAUAAAACCUUCAGACUGUCCAGUUUCUGAUCCAGUAUGAAAAUUCUUCUAUACCAUAUCUAAAGUAAGGAAUAUGUAGAGAGAAAGUAGGAAUGUAUACAUGUGUAUCUGACAUUUCAAAUGUCAGCAAGAGUGAUUUCAACCAGAUUUUACUCUAGAAGAAUUGCUUACAAUGAAGUUAAAGUUACAACUGUGUAAGAAACAUUUUGCUAGUAAUUAGUCCAGUUGGUGUAUGUGUGGCUUUAGGUUCAAUAAUAUUUUUUCUGUAUUUAGUUUGUAUGUGUGUACACUUUCCUUUUAUUGUAUCAUUGCUGCCUUUUAUGUCUAGCAGUGUAGAACUUCUGUGAAAGUACUAGACAUGAAAAUUGUAUGGGACAUUCCUUAUUCUGAUGCAGUAAAUCUCCAAGACUUUAAGCAGCAAACAUCUUUAUAUAGCAAACAUGAUGCUAGUGCAUGAAAUUGCAAUUAGGCUACAUAAUGUUAUAUAGCAUCCUGGGCACAUGUGGAAAAAUUGGAAGAGCUGUAAUCAGUCAUUAAUAUCUGGCUAACUUUAUUUUGUUGAACACUAGAGGGAGAUCAAAGCAAAAGAAUAAAUGACUAAUAGACUGUGGUUACUAAUUCAGUUUGUUCAUAAAACUUCAACUGAUGAGAUGAAACAGCAGGUAUUUCUUAUCCUAAUUUUUCACCAUUGUUUUCUCAUGCCUUUGUUUGAUAUUGUUUUACCUGAAAUGUGAUUUUAAAGAAUAAUGAAAACCUGAGAAGGGAAAGGAUCAAUAUUUAUACUAUUGUAAUAUUUAUACUUAUAAGUAUAUUAUAUCAAUAUAAUAUUCAUUGAAAUAUUGAUAUAUCAAUGAAUUCUGUGUAAAAUUAUUUUUUCAUAUGAGACAUUUACUUUGAUGAGAAGAUUGAUAUUUCAGCAGCUGAAGAAUGAAACAAUAAACACACAGUUCAUUUGUCUUACAGUUUUCCUAAAUACUCAGGACUUUAUUUUGGUACACGUCUGCAGGAGUAAAUAGAGGAAACUCAUUUAUCUGCAGGACUUUCAUCGGGGUGUAAGCAACUGAGACUGAACAUGGGCAGAGUAGGAUACAACUCUUUCACAGUCAUAACUGCUGUUUUAUUCAGUGUUUGCUGAAGAGUUAGUAACAUAAAAUAUGCCCCUUAAGAUGUGGAUUUUUAAUUUGUGUAAAAUAAAGUUAUCAAAUGCAUGCUUUCUUAUCCUCUCAGUUACUGAUGGGAAAUACCAAGGCUUUCCAUGGAAUUCCCAAAGGAAGGGCCCUUAGGGCAUUUAAUAGUUUCCUGAGAGGAAGGCUCUGGCUUAUCAGGCUCUAGCAGAGAAGGAACACUGGCAUCCAAGCUUCAAAACUAAGGAAUUAUU